ensembl:lncRNA
CCUGGAGGCCGUUUUAAUGAGUGUUUGCUGGAAAACGAAAAAUACAAGAAGGAUUUGUACGUUUUCACAACGGGGGAGUUGCUAAACUUUGACCACUUCCAGAUACUGCGGGCCAUCGGGAAAGGAAGCUUUGGAAAGGUGUGUGUGUGUGUGUGUGUGUGUGUGUGUGUGUGUGUGUGUGUGUGUGGAUGCCGGCGUUUCUGAGAGCACCUGUUUACAGGCACCUUCAGGCCUGGUGGGUGUGGCCCUGCCAGGUGGUUGGCCACACCUGAAGACCAUCACACAGCUGAUCAAGCCUUGUCGGAGGAGCUACUUAAGAAUGCGGUGGCGCUCUCUCUGACGCUGGAUCAUUGCGUGACUUCACGAGAAGCGUGGAGACGAGAGGGCAGCGAGCACGGGGUGCUCAGACACUGAGGAGCGGAGACAAGGAACACUAGCAGUGGGAAGAGGACAUUUCACGGGAGUCGGGAACGCACUGCGGAUUUAUUGUUAUUUUCCAU